rnacentral:rRNA from 1 species
GCAGUCGAGCGGACCGACGGGAGCUUGCUCCCUUAGGUCAGCGGCGGACGGGUGAGUAACACGUGGGUAACCUGCCUGUAAGACUGGGAUAACUCCGGGAAACCGGGGCUAAUACCGGAUGCUUGAUUGAACCGCAUGGUUCAAUCAUAAAAGGUGGCUUUUAGCUACCACUUACAGAUGGACCCGCGGCGCAUUAGCUAGUUGGUGAGGUAACGGCUCACCAAGGCGACGAUGCGUAGCCGACCUGAGAGGGUGAUCGGCCACACUGGGACUGAGACACGGCCCAGACUCCUACGGGAGGCAGCAGUAGGGAAUCUUCCGCAAUGGACGAAAGUCUGACGGAGCAACGCCGCGUGAGUGAUGAAGGUUUUCGGAUCGUAAAACUCUGUUGUUAGGGANNNACAAGUACCGUUCGAAUAGGGCGGCACCUUGACGGUACCUAACCAGAAAGCCACGGCUAACUACGUGCCAGCAGCCGCGGUAAUACGUAGGUGGCAAGCGUUGUCCGGAAUUAUUGGGCGUAAAGCGCGCGCAGGCGGUUUCUUA